UACGUAGGGACCGAGCGUUGUCCGGAAUCAUUGGGCGUAAAGAGCGUGUAGGCGGCUUGUUAAGUCUUGCGUGAAAUCUCGGGGCUCAACCCCGAGCGGUCGUGAGAAACUGGCAGGCUAGAGUGCGGGAGAGGAGAGUGGAAUUCCUGGUGUAGCGGUGAAAUGCGCAGAUAUCAGGAAGAACACCCGUGGCGAAGGCGGCUCUCUGGAACGCAACUGACGCUGAGACGCGAAAGCGUGGGGAGCAAACAGGAUAG
rnacentral:rRNA from 1 species